rnacentral:rRNA from 1 species
GAUCAUGGCUCAGGAUGAACGCUAGCGGCAGGCUUAACACAUGCAAGUCGAGGGGCAGCAUAAUGGAUAGCAAUAUCUAUGGUGGCGACCGGCGCACGGGUGCGUAACGCGUAUGCAACCUACCGUUUAACAGGGGGAUAACACUGAGAAAUUGGUACUAAUACCCCAUAAUAUCAUAGGAAGGCAUCUUUUAUGGUUGAAAAUUCCGAUGGUUAGAGAUGGGCAUGCGUUGUAG